AGUAGGGUGCCAUAAAGAGGUGUAUUUGGAAAUAUCCCUAAUACAGGAUC
rnacentral:rRNA from 1 species